UACGUAGGUGGCAAGCGUUGUCCGGAUUUACUGGGCGUAAAGGGCGCGUAGGCGGUUCGUUAAGUCCUGUGUGAAAUCCCCCGGCUCAACUGGGGAACUGCACAGGAAACUAGCGGGCUUGAGUUCGGGAGAGGGAAGCGGAAUUCCGGGUGUAGCGGUGAAAUGCGUAGAUAUCCGGAGGAACACCGGUGGCGAAGGCGGCUUCCUGGACCGACACUGACGCUGAGGCGCGAAAGCUAGGGGAGCAAACGGG
rnacentral:rRNA from 1 species